UACAGAGGUCUCAAGCGUUGUUCGGAUUCAUUGGGCGUAAGGGUGCGUAGGCGGCGCGGUAAGUCGGGUGUGAAAUUUCGAGGCUUAACUUCGAAACUGCAUUCGAUACUGCCGUGCUUGAGGACUGGAGAGGAGACUGGAAUUUACGGUGUAGCGGUGAAAUGCGUAGAUAUCGAUAAGGAAGACCAGUGGCGAAGGCGGGUCUCUGGACAGUUCCUGACGCUGAGGCACGAAGGCCAGGGGAGCAAACAGG
rnacentral:rRNA from 1 species